rnacentral:rRNA from 1 species
UACGUAGGGGGCAAGCGUUGUCCGGAUUUAUUGGGCGUAAAGAGCGUGUAGGCGGCCAGGUAGGUCAGCUGUGAAAACUCGAGGCUCAACCUCGAGACGCCGGUUGAAACCAUCUGGCUAGAGUCCGGAAGAGGAGAGUGGAAUUCCUGGUGUAGCGGUGAAAUGCGCAGAUAUCAGGAAGAACACCCGUGGCUAAGGCGGCUCUCUAGUACGGUACUGACGCCGAGGAGCGAAAGCGUGGGGAGCGAACAGG